UGCCAGCAGCCGCGGUAAUACGGAGGGUCCAAGCGUUAUCCGGAAUCAUUGGGUUUAAAGGGUCCGCAGGCGGGCUAUUAAGUCAGUGGUGAAAUCUCUUGGCUUAACCAAGAAAUUGCCAUUGAAACUAUUAGUCUUGAAUUCGGUCGAAGUGGGCGGAAUGUGUCAUGUAGCGGUGAAAUGCAUAGAUAUGACACAGAACACCGAUAGCGAAGGCAGCUCACUAGGCCUGAAUUGACGCUCAGGGACGAAAGCGUGGGGAGCGAACAGGAUUAGAUA
rnacentral:rRNA from 1 species